rnacentral:lncRNA from 1 species
GCUGGGAUGGAAGAAAGGGAAAAGAAUGUGUGUGACUUUUUAUAUUUUUUCCUUUCUCAAGGGAGAAAUCUGAGAACUAACAACCAACAUUUAUUCCUAUUUUGCUUCAUCUCAGGGAAAGAAGGAGGCACAGACCGCCGAUGUGGAAAUCUUUCUCAGCACACCCACAACGCGGACUUUCUUCAGGCUUUUGCUUUUCAGAUCUACCUCCUCCUAGAGAAAGCUAGUGGACUGUCCACGCUGAUUUGAACGAGCUACAUCAGUAUUUACUGACCUAGACUGGGCA